UUACCUGGGUUUGACAUAUAGGUUGUAGGGAACUGAGAAGGGACCGACCCUUCGGGGAGCCUAUACAGGUGUUGCAUGGCUGUCGUCAGCUCGUGUCGUGAGAUGUUCGGUUAAGUCCGCUAACGAGCGCAACCCUCGUCGUAUGUUAUAUGUGUCAUACGAGACUGCCGGUAAAAGCCGGAGGAAGGUGAGGAUGAUGUCAAGUCAGCAUGACCUUUAUAUCCAGGGCUACACACACGCUACAAUGGUCUGUACAAUGGGUAGCCAAGCCGCGAGGCGGAGCCAAUCCUGAAAGCAGGCCUCAGUUCAGAUUGCAGUCUGCAACUCGACUGCAUGAAGCCGGAGUUGCUAGUAACCGCGGGUCAGCAAUACUGCGGUGAAUACGUUCCCGGGCCUU
rnacentral:rRNA from 1 species